rnacentral:ribozyme from 1 species
UUCUCAGCAACUUCUAUUCCUAUCUCCUCGCUGUACCGGCCGGACCGCGAGCAAACGAUGAUCGAGUAAUCAAUUGUGGUGAAAGCUCUGGUCGUAGGCUGAUAUGGAAGG